rnacentral:rRNA from 1 species
GUGCCAGCAGCCGCGGUAAUACGUAGGAGGCAAGCGUUGUCCGGAAUCACUGGGUGUAAAGGGUGCGCAGGCGGGAAGGUAAGUCAAUGGUGAAAUCUCACAGCUUAACUGUGAAACUGCCAUUGAUACUGCUUUUCUUGAGUUUGGGAGAGGGUGGUGGAAUUCUUGGUGUAGCGGUGAAAUGCGUAGAUAUCAAGAAGAACACCAGUGGCGAAGGCGGCCACCUGGCCCAUAACUGACGCUCAUGCACGAAAGCGUGGGGAUCAAACAGGAUUAGAAACCCUUGUAGUCC